AUCAACUUUCGAUGGUAGGAUAGAGGCCUACCAUGGUGGUAACGGGUAACGGGGUGUUAGGGCACGACACCGGAGAGGGAGCCUGAGAAACGGCUACCACAUCCAAGGAUGGCAGCAGGCGCGCAAAUUACCCAAUCCCGACACGGGGAGGUAGUGACAAUAAAUAACAAUACGGGGUUCUUUCGGAUUUCGUAAUUGGAAUGAGUACAAUUUAAAUCUCUUAACGAGGAACAAUUGGAGGGCAAGUCUGGUGCCAGCAGCCGCGGUAAUUCCAGCUCCAAUAGCGUAUAUUAAAGUUGCUGCAGUUAAAAAGCUCGUAGUUGAAUUUCGGGACCAAUAUGUCGGUCGUGCCUCGGUACGUACUGGCAUCGUUGGUUUCUCCCUUCUGACGAACCAUGAUGUCAUUUAUUUGGCGUCGUGGGGAAUCAGGACUGUUACUUUGAAAAAAUUAGAGUGUUUAAAGCAGGCUCACGCUUGAAUACAUUAGCAUGGAAUAAUGAAAUAGGACGUUUGAUUCUAUUUUGUUGGUUUCUAGGAUCGACGUAAUGAUUAAUAGGGAUAGUUGGGGGCAUUAGUAUUCAAUUGUCAGAGGUGAAAUUCUUGGAUUUAUUGAAGACUAACUACUGCGAAAGCAUUUGCCAAGGAUGUUUUCAUUAAUCAAGAACGAAAGUUAGGGGAUCGAAGACGAUCAGAUACCGUCGUAGUCUUAACCAUAAACUAUGCCGACUAGGGAUCGGAUGAUGUUAAUUUUUUAAUGACUCAUUCGGCGCCUUACGGGAAACCAAAGUGUUUGGGUUC
rnacentral:rRNA from 1 species